CCUGAAUGGAUUGAUUAUGAAAAUGUAUGUUUUAUGUUUGUGACAUGUAUAUUUUAGAAGUUAUAAAUAUUGUGUAAAAACUGUAUUCCUCUGCUGGUGAUAAUGAGAUUACCCAUUGUGUUCAGUAAUCAUAUCACAGGCAGAGGGGAGGAGUUUGUGUGGGAGUGUCUGGGUGUAUUGUACGGAUUGAUUAGUUGUUUUGUAACGCCCUGUGGGCUGUACUAUGUUUGUGG
rnacentral:lncRNA from 1 species